UAUUUGUACCAAGUUAUUGGUGUCAUUUUUCCGAUUCCUCGGAACUAUGAUGAAAAGGGAAUCAGGUGUAAAUCCUGAACAGACCCGCUGCUGUAAACUCCGUUAUUUGAGUUUCGGGCAAUACCCAAUGCCACUUUUUGUAUAAAAGGGAAGGCCGCCUGAAAUGGGAGUAAGUCAGAAAACCUGCCAAUGAUAAUGUAUGAUU
rnacentral:ncRNA from 1 species